GAAAUCGUACCCCAAACCGACACAGGUGGUCAGGUAGAGAAUACCAAGGCGCUUGAGAGAACUCGGGUGAAGGAACUAGGCAAAAUGGUGCCGUAACUUCGGGAGAAGGCACGCUGAUAUGUAGGUGAAGUGAUUUACUCAUGGAGCUGAAAUCAGUCGAAGAUACCAGCUGGCUGCAACUGUUUAUUAAAAACACAGCACUGUGCAAACACGAAAGUGGACGUAUACGGUGUGACGCCUGCCCGGUGCCGGAAGGUUAAUUGAUGGGGUUAUCCGUAAGGAGAAGCUCUUGAUCGAAGCCCCGGUAAACGGCGGCCGUAACUAUAACGGUCCUAAGGUAGCGAAAUUCCUUGUCGGGUAAGUUCCGACCUGCACGAAUGGCGUAAUGAUGGCCAGGCUGUCUCCACCCGAGACUCAGUGAAAUUGAACUCGCUGUGAAGAUGCAGUGUACCCGCGGCAAGACGGAAAGACCCCGUGAACCUUUACUAUAGCUUGACACUGAACACUGGUCCUUGAUGUGUAGGAUAGGUGGGAGGCUUUGAAGUGUGGACGCCAGUCUGCAUGGAGCCAUCCUUGAAAUACCACCCUUUAAUGGCUGGUGUUCUAACGUGGACCCGUUACCCGGGUUGCGGACAGUGUCUGGUGGGUAGUUUGACUGGGGCGGUCUCCUCCUAAAGAGUAACGGAGGAGCACGAAGGUUAGCUAAUCCUGGUCGGACAUCAGGAGGUUAGUGCAAAGGCAUAAGCUAGCUUGACUGCGAGAGUGACGGCUCGAGCAGGUGCGAAAGCAGGUCUUAGUGAUCCGGUGGUUCUGAAUGGAAGGGCCAUCGCUCAACGGAUAAAAGGUACUCCGGGGAUAACAGGCUGAUACCGCCCAAGAGUUCAUAUCGACGGCGGUGUUUGGCACCUCGAUGUCGGCUCAUCACAUCCUGGGGCUGAAGUAGGUCCCAAGGGUAUGGCUGUUCGCCAUUUAAAGUGGUACGCGAGCUGGGUUUAGAACGUCGUGAGACAGUUCGGUCCCUAUCUGCCGUGGGCGCUGGAGAAUUGAGGGGGGCUGCUCCUAGUACGAGAGGACCGGAGUGGACGCAUCACUGGUGUUCGGGUUGUCAUGCCAAUGGCAUUGCCCGGUAGCUAAAUGCGGAAGAGAUAAGUGCUGAAAGCAUCUAAGCACGAAACUUGCCCCGAGAUGAGUUCUCCCUGAGACUUUAAGUCUCCUGAAGGAACGUUGAAGACGACGACGUUGAUAGGUCGGGUGUGUAAGUGUAGCGAUACAUUGAGCUAACCGAUACUAAUGAACCGUGAGGCUUAACCUUACAACGCCGAAG
rnacentral:rRNA from 1 species